GUGGGGAAUCUUCCGCAAUGGACGAAAGUCUGACGGAGCAACGCCGCGUGAGUGAAGAAGGUUUUCGGAUCGUAAAGCUCUUUCGUUAGGGACGAACGUGCUCUUUGUGAAUAAUGAGGAGUAAUGACGGUACCUAAAUAAGAAGCCACGGCUAACUACGUGCCAGCAGCCGCGGUAAUACGUAGGUGGCAAGCGUUGUCCGGAAUUAUUGGGCGUAAAGCGCGCGCAGGCGGGAUAUCAAGUCUGUCUUAAAAGUGCGAGGCUCAACCUCGUGAGGGGACAGAAACUGGUAUUCUUGAGUGUCGGAGAGGAAAGUGGAAUUCCAAGUGUAGCGGUGAAAUGCGUAGAGAUUUGGAAGAACACCAGUGGCGAAGGCGACUUUCUGGACGAUGUCUGACGCUGAGGCGCGAAAGCUAGGGGAGCAAACGGGAUUAGAUACCCUAGUAGUCC
rnacentral:rRNA from 1 species